rnacentral:lncRNA from 1 species
CAACUAUUUCAAGACCAUAAACAGAACUGAGUGUUCACCAAAAACUAAAUCUAAAAAUUCUGAGUGAAGAAUAAAUGAGAGGUUUUCUUCCUCCUACUUCUCUCCCUCUUCCUUUUCCUUCCUUUUCUGUUACUUAAUAUUAUUGUUAUUAUUGUUAUUUUCUCUAAUCUGGAAAAAUAAUAGCUUGUUAGCCUAGCCUGUCUAAGUGGGACUUUUACCUUUGUU